GCCGAUGUGGCGGAAUGGCAGACGCGGCGCACUCAAAAUGCGCUGUCCGUGAGGGCGUGUGGGUUCGAGUCCCACCAUCGGUACCG
rnacentral:tRNA from 2 species